rnacentral:rRNA from 1 species
UCCAGACUCCUACGGGAGGCAGCAGUGGGGAAUAUUGGGCAAUGGACGCAAGUCUGACCCAGCAACGCCGCGUGAAGGAAGAAGGCUUUCGGGUUGUAAACUUCUUUUAAGAGGGAAGAGUAGAAGACGGUACCUCUUGAAUAAGCCACGGCUAACUACGUGCCAGCAGCCGCGGUAAUACGUAGGUGGCAAGCGUUAUCCGGAUUUAUUGGGUGUAAAGGGCGUGUAGGCGGGAGCGCAAGUCAGAUGUGAAAACUCAGGGCUCAACCCUGAGCCUGCAUUUGAAACUGUGUUUCUUGAGUGCUGGAGAGGCAAUCGGAAUUCCGUGUGUAGCGGUGAAAUGUGUAGAUAUACGGAGGAACACCAGUGGCGAAGGCGGAUUGCUGGACAGUAACUGACGCUGAGGCGCGAAAGCGUGGGGAGCAAACAGGAUUAGAUACCCGCGUAA